rnacentral:lncRNA from 1 species
UUUUAAGUCAUUAAUUAUAGAUGUUUUUUUCUAAUUGAAUUCAUACUGAAAAUGUUUUAUAAAAUUGUAAAAUUUGCUUUAAAAAUAGAGAUAAGUUACGAAUUCCACGACAUUCCACUUUCAUUUACAUUUUGUUUGUAUGUAUAUAGUAUUAUUUUUGUAAUUUAACACUUACUAAUACCUACUCCACUUUUAAGCCAAGUUUUAAAUCACAGUUGCAAAAUGUCGUUAUUGAGACAUCUUGAAAAAUAAAAGUAAAAUUAUUUAAUUAUGAACUACAUUUGUACAAAUUUAAUUAUAAUUGAUGUCUAGAAGCAUUAUAAAGAAUAUUAAGAGUAGAAAAGGAUGGGAACACUGCUUUAUCCUAUACAGCGAGAUGAAUAACUUAGAAAAAGACAGUGAUCACCACACACACCGCUUCACAGUGAUUACCAUUUUCCAAUCAUCAAGAAAUGAUUGCAUUCCCUUUUUUUCUUGUUUCAUAUUUUGAACUAAAUAUUUAGUUAUUUUUUUUAAUGACAAUAUUAAUAGGAAAAAAUAUUUUUCCUUAAAAAAGUUACUAACUCCAUAAUUAAAUUAGGAAGAAAAUAGAUAUAAAUCGAAACACAUAGAUUGGACAUACUACGUGCAGAUGAUUUUUAACGCUUAAGGUUUAUCAGAUAUACUGGUUGUCAUGUAUGGGCGUUCGAAAAAGAGAUCUUUAUUAUAACAAAAGAAUAUUUUGAAAAAGAAUUUUUAUUCGAUAAAGUUUUUCGUUUAAAUUUGAUUUUGCAAACAAUUUUCAAGUGAUCAAAGAACAUUUGGAAAAGUCAAUGACAGAAAAGAUUGGAUAUGUAGUUUCAAUUUUCAACGACAUAAGACCUACUAUUUCUAUUUUAAUGACAAAGUUUAGAAGCAAAUAUAAAGAAGCAGCUCAACGAUAAGAUUACUUUUUCAAAAUAAACAAAAACUGGUUAAAAACUUUAGUAAAUUUUCAGAUUGAUUCAAAACGUGCAACUGUAAAUAAAUUGACAAGACGGUCCACCGAAAAUUUUAAAAUUUUAUCUGAUAGGUCCAAAAUAAGGAGAACUAAAGAGAUACGUACAAAGCUCAAUCGUGCCAAAUUAUUGUUCGCUACGCAAAUGAGCCUAUGAUCUUCAGGUCGUUCAGGCGCUGCAAAGAUUGUAAAUGACGUUACACUGUAAAUUCCAUUCAAGGUAACAAAAUACAAGGAAGGUAUGCAACUAUCAUUAUUAUUGUCAAUCUUCUAUGAUGCAAAUGAAGCUGUAGCACUUCUAUUAGACCUAGAUUUGACGAAAUAUUUUUACCAGCAUAUUGCAAAAAAUAGAUGCUUAAAUACACUUUAUCCACUAUACUCAGCUGUAUUGGCAGCAAAAACAUGUUGCUACCCUCCAGGCGACACCUUAAUUUUACCGAAUCAAAAGUUUAGGUACAGUUUUAAGCUUUAUUAGACCACACCGUUCAACGUGUUUUACAGCAGAACGAAGACAAUAUUGCAUAUAAGAGUAAUUCAGAAAUAUUGAAUAUGACUUUGAUUAGUGGGGCUUUGACGGAACUUUCAGACAGAGCAUUUAAAAAAUGACUUUUGAAGAUCCGAUUAUAUAUCAUGCAAAUUUAUUUUUUACUUUGCUUGUUUUAUUGCAAUUUUUAGAUGUAAAUCAAGAAACGAAAGAAGAAAAUCUCUUAUGGAAUAAUCCAAAACCCUUUUUUGCAGAUCUCUGAAAUUGCGAUUAACAAAGGAAACCGAGGAAAGUUUUUUAAAUGAGAAAACUCAUUUUGACACUCACAUCGAACAACUCCAACCAUUUAAAACAACCAUUCAUAUGAAAAAUGUUUUCAUUCGAUACAAUUUAAGUAUGAUCAUGAUAGAUGGAAAUUGUAUGCAAUGCUAUUUUAAACACAAAAUCUGCGCACCAGUGUUAUCUCUGCAGAUCAACUUCCAAGCAAUUUAAUGACAUUGAUGAAGUUUUGCAAAGACCGUUGAUAAAGUUCGGCAAAAAUUGGUAACCACUGAUUAUCUACAGUACGGACUGACAGCACUGUAGAUAAUCGAUAAACUCUACACGCCUGGAUUCGAUAUUUUGAGUACUUUAUUUAUUUGGGAUACAAAAAAAAAAAAAGAAGAAAUGGCAAGCGCGUAAACAAGAAUUUAAGCAGUAAAAAGCAACAAUGAUAGCUGCAUCUACAAGGCUUUCAAACAGCAACUAAGAAUUUUAGUCAACAUGCCAAAGCAAGGGUUGUACAGCACGUUCGAAGGAAAUGCCGCUUGAGGUUUCUUUGAAAACAACUUAACGUCACCCUUGAUAGUUAAUGUUUCUGAAGAACUAAUCUACCGUUUUCAUAUAAUUUUGCCAACACUUUCAAGUGGACAUGAAAUCAACGUUGAAAAGUUUUGAGAUUACGCCUAAGCAACUGCAAGACACUAUCAAAGAAUAUCCUUGUACAACAUGCCAACAUCAGUACAAAGAUUGCUGAUCCACGGAUUUGACAUUAUUUCUUCGGCCAUUUUUUCCAUGGGUCAACUGCCCGAGGAUGCUCAAGAACAAACCAAUAAGCUAAUAAAGCAAAAUCGUUUGGGUUUUUUAGGAAAGUUUUCAAGAGUUAAGACUAUGGAAGACGUGUUCAGGAGAUUGUUGGCAACCACAGACCUUUACAUUUCAUCUCUACGAUAAUCAACACUAAAAAAAAUGGAAGACAGCCAGCAGCUGCUGCCCCCUUGGUUCCUGUAGCAAAAGAUUAUGAAGACUCUGAUGCAGAUGCCGAGGAAACAGACUUUGGAUAUAAUUUAACUUCAACGAAGAAACGGGUGAAAAUGAAAAAGAACCAGAAUGAUUGUAACUGAAAUAAAACGUUUUUUUUUUUUUAUAUUUAACACCAUUCUCCGUCAUUUGAUCCAUUUUUUAGCUUAUAUAUACACAUUGAAUCCAUCAUUUUGUUUUUUAUUUUUUUAAUAUAAAGUUUUUUUUUUUUUUUUAUAUAUAUUUAUGUCAAAUUUUGUGGCCUGAAAGCACCCUUAAAAACCCAUUUAUAAAAUUUUUUAACAUAUAUCUCUGCCAUAUUGGAUCCGCCAUAUUGUUUCCGCCACUUUUGUUCUUUUUUUUUUGCGAAUUUUUAAUCAGUAACUUCGAAACAUAUUUGCCAUGUAAUUUCAGCCAAAUCAAAUAACGUUUUUAUAUUUUGACCAGGUUUUUCGAUAUCUGACUCACUGUGCGGCGCCCCAAUAACGUCGGCGCUGUCAAAAACGGUCUAGAACAGCCCCUGACAUAUAUAUCAGUGACGGAUCCAGUGGUAGUAUGGCAAGGCGGAUGUUGAAAUAUUUUUGUAUUUUGUACCCUUUUUGCGUCUCCUAAAAAUAAAAAGGUCCUACCUUUAUAUAUUUUAGGACUUUUAAAUUCUGGGUAGGGGGGUACCCUAUCCCCGCUAAAUCCGCAUACCCCCCAUCCCCGCUAA